GCAACUACUGACCUGGUUGCAAAGGAUAGUUCCUGUAAAGCUGCAGUCGCUGAACAUCCACACGUGUCACGUGAAGACUGUGCUCGCAACCUGCUUAAGUUUAUUUUGUCAGGAAAACUAGAUCCGAGCAUGUCUAUCAUUAAUUUUGGAGGAUUUGGAGGGUCUGUCCUUGAUGUUGUCCAGUCGUUUGGUCCCAACAAAUGUCUUGAGAAUACUUUCAUGCAGGGAUUUAUCGACUGUAUUCGUCAGGAUGAUGUAUUAUACAAUCCAGAUUCUGUAAUCAACACUCUAAUACUGAACGUCAACGUUGGGACCGUUUUGAAUAUUGAGGAGUUUGAACAACACAGUUCAAAUCCACAGCCCUUCACAACAUCACUUCUUAAAGAACAUCUUGAACCGACCCUACCUUCAGAUGAUGUUCUUAACCAGAUUAAAUUG